AUGACCUCCCAGAGAGACAGUUUAAAGAAGAGUAGAAGUCUAGCGCUGAGCCUUGUGAUGCCACAAUAGCUAAAGGCCAAGUGGAGGAAGGACCAAAGGAAACCAGUUAGGAAGCUGUUUAAUAAUCCAGGCAAGUGCCAGUGAAAAUCUGAUCUGGCAUGAUGACAGUAGGACCGCAAAGAAAGGGAAGAAUAAAAAGAACGUUAUUAUUUAUUUUUUUAACACAAAGGAAACCAGCUAGUAUGUUUGUGGUGUAAUCAAGGAACUGGUAACUUUACAAAGCUCUACCGUUGGUGUCAAUGAGCAGCCAGAUGUGAGAACUGUUGGUCUAGGGGACCCAUUUCAACUCCAUUCCAGCUCAGUGAUUUAAGUGACAUUAAUUGAAGUUGAAGAUAUUCAAAAUAUUACUUUCCUUAUGCAAUCAGCAGAUGAAACUGGUCUAUGUAUGAGUGCUCCUCAAACGUACUUAGGAUUGAUCCGAUGAAGUGAUAGAAGUUUAAAACCAAAGCCUUGGAAAGAUAAUUGAUCUUCCUUACCAUAUUAUUGUGAAAGAAUGUGGCAAUAUUGAAGAAUUUUCUAACAAAAGAAGCUGGAAUGAGGCAAGGAGAAAUCAGCUGACCAGAGGCAGUAUCACAAGACACUGUGUGUAAUCUAAAGAGAAAUGUGACCCUGAAAUGGAAAGGAGAGGACAAGAGAGAUUGUGUGACUUAAAAUGAGAAUAUAAAGGGCAGCCUCCAAAAUUUUCUAUUCGUGGCAUUUUCAUUAGAGAGAAGUUAUCAACAACAAUAAAAUUGAGCCAAAUAUGCACAAA